GAGGCAGCAGUAGGGAAUCUUCGGCAAUGGACGAAAGUCUGACCGAGCAACGCCGCGUGAGUGAAGAAGGUUUUCGGAUCGUAAAACUCUGUUGUUAGAGAAGAACAAGGAUGAGAGUAACUGUUCAUCCCUUGACGGUAUCUAACCAGAAAGCCACGGCUAACUACGUGCCAGCAGCCGCGGUAAUACGUAGGUGGCAAGCGUUGUCCGGAUUUAUUGGGCGUAAAGCGAGCGCAGGCGGUUUCUUAAGUCUGAUGUGAAAGCCCCCGGCUCAACCGGGGAGGGUCAUUGGAAACUGGGAGACUUGAGUGCAGAAGAGGAGAGUGGAAUUCCAUGUGUAGCGGUGAAAUGCGUAGAUAUAUGGAGGAACACCAGUGGCGAAGGCGGCUCUCUGGUCUGUAACUGACGCUGAGGCUCGAAAGCGUGGGGAGCAAACAGGAUUAGAUACCCUGGUAGUCCACGCGGU
rnacentral:rRNA from 1 species